GCGGAGUUAGUCCAGAGCCCCACAGGACAUCAUCUUCCCAAGCUGAAGAUCGCGUGUUCAAAUCNCACACUCCGCA
rnacentral:tRNA from 1 species